AAAAUAAUUUGUAACUUUCGUUUUUCUGUGUGUAGUGUCUGUAAGCGUGAGGAUGAUAGGUAUGAGAGGACAACAAGUUCAGCAAAGAGAGGACCAUUCUGUACUCAGCAAAGAUGUAUGGGUGAAGUUUGAGUCUGGUAAAGACAAGGGGAGAGAAAUAUGCUCGAAAAGAGGAUUUUACACAAAUUCGCCUGUGACCUUGAUCUAGAAAAUUGGUUCAUAGUCACUGCUCAUCACCCACCCAUGGACACUCUAUGGGUGAGGUUUGAGCCCGACUGUGACAAGGGUAGAAAAAAUAUGCUCCAGACAAAGAUCUUACACAGGUAGGUUUACUACAGUGACCUUUGAUCUAGGAAAUUGGAUCAAGGUCACUUCACCCCUCCACCCAUGGGCAAUCUAUGGGUAAAGCUUUGCCCAGACUUGGUCAAGGGAAAGGAAUAUUGUUUAAGUCAAAUGAAAUCGAAUGGACGGUUGGGGGGGGGGGGGCGGACAGUCAAAUCAUCGUAGACAAUUACUCAAAUCCACAAAACAUCUAAGUGACGUCAUCGUCAAAUUUUAAGGUUCAAAUAAUUUUCUAUCAUUUUUGAAAGCUUCAAGAAAUUCGACCGAGCCCUUGAAAAUAUUGUUUUUUGCAAAGUACGUUAAUAUGGUCGAUAUCAACGCACUUUAAUUUUUGUUUUCAAAGCGCGUUGACUAUGUCACAAAUUUAAUGCACUUUGAAUUUGAAUGGCAUGUCAAACGUGGCAAUAGUUGAUCUUUUCCAAUUGUAUUGUAUAAUUUUCCAUUUGUGUUCUAUAUUUUCCAUUUGCAUUGUAUAAUUUUUCAUUUUCAUUGUAUAAUUUCCAUGUGUAUUGUAUAUUUUUCCAUUUGUAUUCUAUAUUUUCCAUUUGUAUUCUAUAAUUUUUUCGUUUGCAUUGUAUAAUUAUGUUCCCCAAACAAAGUUUGGGAAAUGAAAACGAUGUUACGAUAAGUUUGCCUCAGGGGUCCAUAUUGGAUCCAUUGUUCUUCGUUUUAUUUGUUAACGAUUAUCCUAAAUGCGUAAAGCACUCAAAUGUAUCUAUAUAUGCAUAUGAUACAUCUCAGGAUGUUUCACAUGAAUCUAUUGAUGUUAUUGAGCAAAGGUUGCAUGAACUUUAAACUCUAUGAAAUGGAUGGAAAGUAAUAAACUUACGAUGAAUUUAAAGAAAACACAAUGUAUGUUGAUUGGCACUGCACAAAAACUCUCAAAGUGUAGAAAAUGUGUAUCAAAGUAGGAGAUAUUGUUUUAGAUACUGUUAAAACGGCCAAACUUCUUGGUGUAUAAAUAGAUGAAUGUCUAAUUUGGUCUGUACACAUUGAUUCUUUAUGCAAGAAAUUUUCACAGAAAAUAGGCAUUUUACGUCGUCUGCAAACUUUUAUGUCAAAUGCAGCAUUAUUGAAAAUUCAUAACACUGUUAUAUUUACUCAUUUUAAUUAUUGUUGCAUAGUUUGGUGCUCUGCCAAAAACAGGGUUUUUAUUGACAGACUUUUUAAAUUACAGAAAAGGGCAGCCAGAAUCAUAUUGAAUGUGAAAGUAACUCAGACUUCUACGGUUGAUAUUUUUAAUGUUCUUAAAUGGUUGCCUGUUCAUGAUUAUUUUAGUGCUUGCUUUUAAGGUUCUUAAAAAUAUGUCACCAGAAUACUAGUAUAUGAACGUUUUUAGCUUUGUCAGCCAAGUUAGUUCCAGAACAACAAGAAGUAGCGAUACUGGCAUUUUGUAUUAACCAAAAGUUCGAACUGAAUAUUAUAAACGGUCUUUUAAGGUAUCCUCCACCAUUUUAUGGAAUCAGUUGCCCGCGUCUGUCAGAAGCUGUGGUUCUAUUACAUCUUUUAAAUCGGCACAUUUGCAACACUAUUACUCAAAUACGUGAUAUAUAGAUAUAUAUAUGUUUAUUUUUCCAAGUGAUAUCGUGUGUAUAUUUUAUGUAUAUACUUUAUAUUAUGUUAUCUAUUUUUCUAUUCUCUCAUUUAUCUGUCUGUGAAUAUGUUUUAUACCGGACCACAAUGUAAAAUAGUCAUUUGUACUAAUUGUGCUAUCCUGUCUAAGUAAAGAAUUUAUUAUUAUCAUUAUAACACACUUUGAAUGAAAGUGUAACACACAACAACGUCCACACUGUUUUCAUUUUCUUAUCAAUACAAUGAAUACAUGUAUGAUGUAUGAUAAUGUGACAUAUCAACAGAGGUAGAUUCAUUUCAUGCACAGUCAACAGUUGAUAUUGUCAAUUUGUUUUCAGUCUAUUUCAUACAUACAUUGUACUCGGUCCGAUGAAAAAACAACCAAAAACAAAACACGGAACAGAAAACGAAACAGAACAAAAAACAGAUCGGAAUAUUCAAAAUAUAUAAAUCAUUUAUCAAAGACAAAAUAUGGUAUACACAUGGGCAAGCAAACUGGCACACACAAAACAAAAUAGACAGAUUUGUAGCUUAUUAGAUUUAUUGGCGGUAAUGAUCACGGCUGUUCAUAACUAGUGCAAGAAGAAAAACCAUAACCCAAAGUGAACCCUGGGACCAGAUGUACACCCGGGAAAAAAUAAGAUAAUGUUUAUUUAUAUUUGUAAUAUAAAUUAAAUGAAUGAAAAAUCCAGGUGAGCUCUACUGGCAAGCUGAAUCUCCGCCACUAGACUAUGCAGCCACUGCAUAGACUGCGCCACCAGUAGAGCCGACCCUCCCCAAGCAGUGGUAGUCAUAGACAAAAAGAUAAACCCUCAUAAUAGGUUGGAACUAUCAUCUCCAAACACACACAAAGAAUAAUAGUAAAACUGUAGAAUCGUCUAAAAGUUCAUCUUUCUGUAAGCACCCCAGGUAAAACAGUAAUAAGGAACUAUAGUGUCAUUGCCUCACGUGGAUGGCCCUAAGCAAAACAAGAUAAGUUAACACCAGAACGACAGCAAGUAUGAGCUGAUUACAUGCACCGUGUAAAUACAACGAGCCAGCAACGAUUUGUUUAAAUGGGUAUCCCUAAUAAAAGUGAUCACGUCAUCAUUCAGUGAACACUACACAUAAGGAUUUAAUGCGCAAUAUGCUACAAAGGGAGCCAGCAAUAAUUUUGCUUAAUUGGGCAUCCCUAAACAAAAUAUGAUCACAUUGUAAUCAGUUAACACUGAAAAAAACCCAACAAUUUAAUAUUUUGUCACAAGGAAUACUCAUGUGAAAUAUCAACGCUCUAGCUCUUACUGUUCAAACGUUAUUGACAAGGUUAAAGUAGGUCAAACUCCAAAGUCGAGGUCACAGGGUCAAAAAUGUUGGUACCCACGGAAAGGUGUUGUCCUAAGGAAUACUGUGAACAAGAGAUGUUUGUAAAACACACAUGCCCCCCAUGGUGCAAAAUUGAAAAGGGGUAUACACCACACAUCAUUUAAUUGAUAGUAGUGUCAUCAAUUCAAAAUAUUGAGCAGACAAUAUCUUCCUAUGUCAAGAGUAGAUUAACCAUGUGACCUAAAAUCAAUAGGGGUCAUCUACUCCUUAUGCUGUACCAGUGUGCCAAGUUUGGUGUCAAUCAAGCAAAUAAUUCUUAAAUUAUAGGAGACAAUAUAUUACUAUGUCCAAUUCAACUAUUGACCUUUGACCUCAAAAUCAAUAUGGGUCAUCUUCUCCUGAAGAUGUACCAGUGUACUAAGUUUGAUGUCUGUCAAGCAAAGGGUUAUCAAGAUAUUGAGUGGACAGUAUAUUACUAUGUCCAGUUUGACCCUUGACCACAAAAUCAACAGGAGUCAUCUUCUCCUGAAUAUACACCAGUGUACUAAGUUUGAUGUCUGUCAAGCAAAGGGUUCUCAAGAUAUUGAAUGGACAGUAUAUUCCUAUAUCCAGUUUGACCCUUGACCUUUGACCAUGUGAUCUCAAAAUCAAUAGGGGUUAUUUUCUCCUGAAGAUAUACCAGUGUAUCAAGUUUGAUGUCUGUCAAGCAAAGGGUUCUCAAGAUAUUGAAUGGACAGUAUAUUCCUAUAUCCAGUUUGACCCUUGACCUUUGACCAUGUGAUCUCAAAAUCAAUAGGGGUUAUUUUCUCCUGAAGACGUAUCAGUGUACCAAGUUUGAUAUCUGUCAAGAAAAGGGUUCUCAAGAUAAUGAGCGGAAAGUAUAUUGCUAUGUCCAGUUUGACCCUUGACCUUUAACCAUGUGACCUCAAAAUCAAUAGGGUCAUCUUCUCCUGAAGACGUAUCAGUGUACCAAGUUUGAUGUCUGUCAAGCAAAAGGUUCUCAAGAUAUUGAGCAGACAGUAUAUUCCUAUGUCUAGUUUGACCCUUGACCAGGUGACCUCAAAAUCAAUAGGAGUCCUCUUCUACUGAAGAUAUACCAGUGUACUAAGUUUGAUGUCUGUCAAGCAAAGGGUUCUCAAGAUAUUGAUACAUGAAAAACAAUAGGGGUCCUCUUUUACUCGUAACCAACCCAAUUAUGAAAUAUCGUAAUCAUCAAGUGAAUGGUUCUCAAGAUAUUGAGCGGACAACAUGUGGUCUACCGACCGACAGGUGCAAACCAAUAUGUCUCUCUUCUUUGAAGCUCAAAAGAAGAGUGCUAUCAAAGCUCUAGCACUUACUGUUCAAAAGUUAUUAGCAAGGUUAAAGUUUCAGACAGAAUGACAAAAACAAUACCCCCCCCCCCUCCGGUCUUCGAUCUCGGGGGCAUAAAAAGGGAGUCAGCAACAAUUUUGCUUAAGAGGCUGUCUACGAUAGAACCAUGCAAAAUCAAAAAAUUAUCAUGGAAGGUGGUGUCAAAUUUUCAGAGCUUUUUAUGAUAUUUCAAAAGUAUUUUACUAGUUAUAUCAUAUUUUGUGGCAAAAUCGAUUAGUACCCCCGAACUAACACAUAAUGGGCCGUUCUAUUUUUAGCACAAUAUACACAUCAAUUUCAUGCAUAAAUGGGGUAAUUUCAGCAAAUCAUUAAAAUAUCAAAAGCAGAUUAAUCACAUAUAAUUUCAGUACCGCAUAGUCUAUUCGAACGGUAUCUUUGAAUUGGUGAACAUAACUUUAAAAUUCAUUCUCCAGAUUUAAGUCGUAUAUUGUUUGAACUAGUAAGAUUAUGUAACUUUCAAAUUAAAUGCUAUUUUUAGUGAGUCAUAAAACCCCAAGAAACGCUUAAAAUAAACAGUUUUGUGGUUUAAAACACAGAAUUAUGCAUAAAUUAUCACUAGUAAACGGGAAUUUGGUUGCAAAUAAAUAGAAAGUCAUUUAUUUGGGGUAUAAAAUUCGGAAAUUUUAUCAAAAAUUUUUCUCCCUUUGUGGAACUAUCAUGGGAAGAAGUUAAGGAAGAAUGAUUCAUAAGGCAGAUGACAACAACAUGGAAUGGGUGGAAAGUGAUGGAAGAUAAAUUUAUAGCCUUGGUGAAAAUUUCAAGGAAAGAGGGAGUUUAUUUACAUCAGGAUUGCAAGAAGUAUACUUCAGCACACUUGAUAUUUUUAAAUGUCCAUCAGAAAUUGUGUGAAUUCCAGAAUCAUUGUUCACUGCACUGCACUGCACAGCUGGUGUGCAUUAACUAUGAUCUAGACUUAACAGACAUAAUCAUGCCUAUGCCAAUCAUGGACAUUAACUUUGAAUAAAGAACAACAUGUUGUCACCCAUUACAUGACAAACCUAACUCAGAUGUGAAAGGGGGGUGACUCCGUGACUCCAAAGCUUAUAAAUCUGCCACAUUGCUCAAGUUGACAACACAUGUUCCAUUGAUUCUGGUAAGUUCUUUUUUUUUUUAUAUCUUCCUGCACUAACAGAUAUUGAAAUAUGCACUUAUGCAUAAAUACUCAUGAGUGAAAUUUUUAAAAUUUUACUUCUAUUUGGAUUUUUUAAGAUAUCAAUUUGCUCAAUACACAAUUUUCUAGAUUAAAAUACUGUUACAAUAUAUUUAGGAAAUAUAAUGAAAUAUAUGUGUUUGGUGUUUGCAGACAAGACAAUGCAUUGAGAAACACAAAAGUUGUGUCCAGAUUAAGACAGAUGUAAAGAAAGAGUUGAAAGGUAUGAUGCUUUACAAAUGUCUGAAUAAAAUCUAAUAGGAAUUUAAGUGACACCUUCUAGGUUAACAACUAACAUAUAAGUUGAUAGAAUUAUGGAUGGAAACUGAAUUAAGUCAAACAAAUAAAGUACAAAUUCAGGUCCAGGAUUUUUCUGGAGAAUGUAAAAGCAAUUUAUAUUGUAGUUUUCAGACAUUUUUUAACUUUUAAAGAGAAUGAUAAUAGAAAUGAUUGAAGGGAGAGGGUGUGCAUUAAUAAUGUAACUGUAGUUUAACUACAUUUUUUUUUAUUCUAUAAACAGAUAAUUUAUUUAGCAGUGCAUAUUGGAAUCAAGAUAAUUUUAUAAAUCAAUUUCGAAAUAAAAUCAAAUGACUAAAUAUUUAUGUAUGAGUCUAUGGAGAUAUUUGUGAGAUCUGUGAUUAAUGAAUUGAAAAUCAGAAAGAAGUAAGAUUUUAUUAAUGAUUCUGUUAUUAACAUUGUAUCAUGUUUAUUGCACACUUAAUAAUAAAUGCAGGUUUAGGUAAUGUGGAAUGCUUCUAAUCACUUUGAAACUUUCCUGAGAUUUCGAUAAAUAAAAUUUUGGUUUAUGUAAGACAACAAAUUCACAUUAUAAAUGUAGCAUAUACCAUACCAUAUACCUAUUGUAGUAUUGUAUAAAUAUCUCUGCAGACAAAUAAUUUUUUUUAAGUAUUUAAUAUAUUUGUUUUAAUUAAAACCCUGCCUAUAGUCAAGAGCCCUACAGUGAACAGGCCAAAUUAAAGAAUAUGUGUGGUUCCGGUUACCCGACCGUCCCUAGUUUUUACCCCCGACCCUAAACUUUUUUUGACCAUUUCCAAAAUCAGUUACCGUAUUUUGCCGAAUAUAAUGCACACCUUUUUCAAGAUUGCAUAGUAUAUACCACAAUAUAGAUACCACUAAAAUGCUAAACUGUAAACACUUAUUACAGGUCAUCUAACAUUAGACAGAAAGUGACUUAGAACUAGAGAGUGCUUACAUAAACAAUAGUGCAAAUUUCAGGUUGCUUGAAUAUACUAAGCGAUCUGCAUCACCCUCCUUAUUUUUGAAAAAGUUGAAUAGAUUUAAAAACUUGGAAGGGCUUGAAAACAGUAUUCUAGUUGAAAUAUCAUUUCCUACUUUCAUGUUCAAAAACAUAAUUUUGGCAUUUUUUCCCCUGCAUUUAUUUUUUUUAUUUAAAAUAAAUAUAUAAGAAUUGUCAAAACUAGGGUGAUCCCUACCAAUUUUGAUAGGUAUAUACAUGUAUAUCACACCAUAUAUAAAUGGUAAAUGCAAAGAAGUGAAAGUAAAAGAAAAUUGUGUUUCCAUCUAAAAUCUAUCAUUAGAAAAGUAACUUUAAAAAAAUGAUGUCAAAACUUCAGCUUUUUAUGAAAAAGAAUGGAUACCCCUCUGCUAUGAGCAGAAUCAGUAUAAGAGAGUAUGGAUGUACCAAACCAUCUUGAGUCAUACUUAAAAUUAUUUUUUUCGCAAAAAUGUGUUUCUUGUAGAAAAAUCACAUCAAUAUUGUUAUCAUUAAACCAUUGAUAUAAUGUAUUUCUUUUCUCAUAACCAUUUAAACCCCUUACAUUCAGGGUAAUACACUUCAAAUGUUCCAUAGCGAAAAUAGAAGACAAAAAAUCGUGUCAGGUAUAAACAAACAUGAGAGACUUUUAUAAUAAUUAUUUGACUGAAGCCGGGCGAGGUAACCCAGAUUUGGAUUUGUUUUUCAAUUUUUUUCUUAACUUCUGUGGCUACCCGUCCAAGUAUCUGUCCUAGUACAUUUUUUCCAGGCCAGGUUGAGGUUUUUGUGUGCAUGGAUUGAUCAUAGUUGAGGCCUGUAGCCCAAAAAUCAUUGUAUGUGGUUUCUGCGAAAAUGACAUUAUUGGUAGAGUUUUCAAGAACAUCUCGGAAAUUCUCAACUUGUUCCGAUUUUUUUCGAAAUAAUCUCCUCCAUGAUCUGAACCCGUGAUGAAAUCCAACUAUCCGAUGUAGUGACAUGAAAAGCUUAAUUUUGACAUCAUAAAUAUACACAGAUCUGUUGAUGGUCGUAAACUUUUGAUUAAUAUUAAAGUCAAUGGUCUAAUUAUCACACUUGUAAAUGUUUAUGCACCCAAUGAUGAUAACAGUAGAAUAGAAUUUUUCAAAAAAUUAAAAACGUGGAUUUUUAAGCUAGCAAUGAGUGAAAACAAUACUAUACUUGCAGGAGAUUUUAAUACGAUUCUUAAUAAACAGGAAAUAGAAAAAAUUGAACUGUCACCGCAUCAUUUAAUAGAUAUGAAUAGAAAAAAAUCUCUUGAAGUCGAAUUAGAUGAAAUCUAUUCGAAAACAACUAAAGGUGCAUUUAUUAGAUCAAAAGCAAAUUGGAUAGAAAAUGGAGAACGGAACACAUCCUACUUUUUAAGACUAGAAAGAAAAAAAAACAAUCUGCCAAUACAAUACACGAAAUUAAAGAAGAUAAUAAAAUGAUAAAUAAAACUGAAGAUAUAAUGAAUUCACUUUGCAAUUUUUAUGAAAACUUGUAUUCAACAAAUCAUGUCCCAGAUGAAAAUAUAAAAAAAUAUUUUGAGGAUUGUGAAUGUCCUCAACUAACCAAUCAAGAAAAAGAUAUAUGUGCUAAUCUUCCAACGGUUUCCGAAUGUGCACAAGCUAUAAAACAGAUGAAAAACAACAAAUCCCCCGGAUCUGUCGAAUUCUAUAAAAUAUUUUGGAAUGACAUUAAAAAUUACUUUUAUAAAUCACUAAUUACAACAUUUGAAAAAGAGGAAAUGACUUUUUCUAAAAAAUUAUCAAUUAUUUCUCUGAUACAUAAAAAGGGAGAGAAAAAUGAUCUUCGAAAUUAUAGACCAAUUAGUCUUACAAAUUGUGAUUAUAAAAUUUUAGCACAAAUUUUCGCUAUAAGAUUACAAAAAGUUAUAGAUAAACUAAUAAGUAAAGACCAAUCCGCAUACAUUAAAGGUAGAUAUAUCGGUGAAAAUGCAAGACUUUUACUUGAUAUAUUUGAAUACUGUGAAACAAAACAAAAAGAAGGAGCAAUUUUACUUCUUGAUUUUCAAAAAGCUUUCGAUUCUGUAGAAUGGAACUUCAUGUUCAACACCCUUAAUAAAUUUAAUUUUGGAGAGCAAUUCAUAAAAUGUAUAAAUUUUUUAUAUACAAAUUCUGUAUAUCGCAUAAAAAAUAAUGGAUGGAUGUCUAGGACCUGCAAAAUGACCAAAGGCAUUCGACAAGGAUGUCCAAUCUCAGCAUUGCUUUUUUUUAUUUAUCGUAGAAAUAAUGUCGAAAAAAAUUCACAAUUCACCUGAAGUUAAAGGCUUUAGUAAUGACCUUAUGACUAAUGAAAUAAAAAUACUUCAACAUGCAGACGACACAUCACUUUUUUUUUUUUUUUUUUUUAUACAGGAUAUCAGAUCUAUUGACCUUCAUUAAAAUAAUUGAACAAUUUGGUCAGGUAUCAGGAAUGCAACUCAAUAAAAAUAUAUCUGAAGGAAUACUAUUAGGUCCUUUGAAAAACAGAUAUGAUAAAUUAUAUGAUAUCAAUAUCACCAAUGCACCUGUUAAAUGCUUAGGGAUAAAUAUAUAGGUCAUGAUGCUAAUCAAUGUUACAAUAAAAACUGGACGGAAAAAAUUAAUAAACUAGAAAAAAGACUUACAAUGUGGAAUACAAGAAAAUUAACCUUAUAUGGAAAAUGUACCGUAAUAAAUACUUUAGCAUUAACACAAUUAUACUAUAGUGCAACUAUAUUGCAAUAUCCAAGAAAAGAAUCCUUAAAAAAAAUAAAGAAAACAAUCUUCAAUUUCCUAUGGGGCAAAAGAGAAAGGAUAAAAAGAUAUACUUUAAUUGGAAAACAAGAUGAAGGAGGAAUAGGUAUUGUUGAUAUUGAUUGUAAAUUAAAAGCACUCAAGGCUGCUUGGGUAACAAGAAUUUUCAAUGAAAAACAAUCAUCUUUAAAAUCUUUCUUUAAUUCGUGUAUUCUUAAAAGAUUCGUUACACCCGAAUAUCUCAUAAUGAAAAAUACAACCAGUACUGAUGAAAUAACGCAAAUUUUCAAAUCAUUACCAAUAUUUUACUGCGAAGUACUCAGUACAUUGAAUGAAUGAAAACAUAAAUCACAUAAAAUAAAAGAGAUGACUGACGUUGAAGUAUUGUCGCAAACUAUAUGGUUAAACAAUUUGACUCGAUUUAAUGGUAAACUUCUUUUUUACACAGAUUGGAUAAAAAGUGGAAUUUUAUACAUUAAAGACCUGUUUGAUGAAAACGGAAAUUUUCAUGAUAUCAAUUAUUUUUCUAAUAUUCUUGUCAACAAGUAUAACUGGAUUUGCGAAUAUAACACACUGGAAAAGGUUAUUAAACCUGUCCAAAAAUAUCACGAUACUUCAAAAGGAGUCUAUAUAAAUAUAAGAAAACAAAGUAACAUUUUAUUAGAAAACAAGAGAAGAAUACCCCUAAACUUGAUAAAUAGCAAAACGAUAUAUGAUAUAUUUAUCAAUAAAAUCUUUAUUAAACCCUACUGUGAGAGAUUUUGGGCAAAAAGCUUCAAUUUAAAUUUUGAAGAAAACAAAACAAAUAUUUAUCAGUCAAAAAUCACUAAAAUCAAAGACAAGCAAUUAGCAGAAUUUAAUUACAAACUCUUACAAAAUCUACUUAAUAAUAAUAAAUCUGUUCACAAAUGAAAUAAGAAUGUAUCCAAUCAAUGCCCGUAUUGCCAAACACUCGAAGACACAAAACAUUUAAUAUUUGAGUGUAGAAACGUACAAUUAAUAUGGAAGAAAUUAGAAAAUCAUUUGAAAUUUAAUUUGAAAUGGAAACAUGUUGCAUUAGGAUUUUUUCAUGAAGAAAAUAAAACUACCACUUUAAUAAAUCAUUUAUUAUCAUAUACAGCU